rnacentral:lncRNA from 1 species
UUGUUUGGUAUUCCAAAUACUAGCCUAUUGUGCUCUGUGCUUACACCCAAACUAUGCUUGUCUAGACCCAUUUAAUUUAUUUCCAGCACUGACACAGAUUGCCUGGGUUUGAGUCUUCAAAACUGUUUUUUUUUUUCAGGAUUUGAUUAAUCUUGUAAUAUUGCAUCAUUUUUUUCAGCAGAUUCAGUGCCAUGUGGACCAUGCUGCCACAUACUUCUCCCAAGUGUGCUAGUGCCUGACAAUGAUGGAUUGUGUUAUGUUAUCUUGACAUGUUUUAGAGUCAUCUGAGAAGAAUGAACCUCAGUUAAGAACAUUACUCCAGGAAAUGGUUUCUCCCUUGAUUCCUGACUUGUAUUUGCUCAAUGAUGGAGAGUGCAAUUGUUGCCCUGCAUAAUAUG